UACGUAGGGCGCAAGCGUUGUCCGGAAUUAUUGGGCGUAAAGAGCUCGUAGGCGGUUUGUCGCGUUGUUCGUGAAAACUCACAGCUCAACUGUGGGCGUGCGGGCGAUACGGGCAGACUAGAGUACUGCAGGGGAGACUGGAAUUCCUGGUGUAGCGGUGGAAUGCGCAGAUAUCAGGAGGAACACCGGUGGCGAAGGCGGGUCUCUGGGCAGUAACUGACGCUGAGGAGCGAAAGCCAGGGGAGCGAACGGG
rnacentral:rRNA from 1 species